AACGAUGAACCUCCUUCGGGAGGGGAUUAGUGGCGAACGGGUGAGUAACNCGUGGGCAAUCUGCCCUUCACUCUGGGACAAGCCCUGGAAACGGGGUCUAAUACCGGAUACGAGCCUCCAAGGCAUCUUGGNGGUUGGAAAGCUCCGGCGGUGAAGGAUGAGCCCGCGGCCUAUCAGCUUGUUGGUGAGGUAACNGNUCACCGAGGCGACGACGGGUAGCCGGNCUGAGAAGGCGACCGGCCACACUGGGACUGAGACACGGCCACACUCCUACCGGAGGCAGCAGUGGGGAAUAUUGCACAAUGGGCCGA
rnacentral:rRNA from 1 species